AUGGCAAAAAGUCAAGAAAAAUUCUCCUCCUCCCCUCCUUGGACUUCUGAGAAUAUAUAUAAGGAUAUAAACAAAGCUACCGUACGCCCAGAAAGACCUGUAAAAGAACUAGCCUCUUCAAGGAGUAUGAAGGCACACAGUUUCUUGUUCUUUUGUGGAGUUCUGAUGCUGUGUGAUAAUCUGACAUCAGCAGCAGUGAUCAAUAAAUUGGUUCAGCCCGAAAGAUGUCUUCCUAGUCCAAUCGUAUGUACCCGGUACGAACCAGAUAACUGUCAGGACGACUCUGACUGCCCGUUAAACCAGAAGUGCUGUUUUGUUCCUUGCGCUUGGAGUUGUGUGGAUGCUGUGUAAUGGUAACUUGAACAUGAAAUGGAUCAACUUCUUAUGGAAAGAAAACCUAUUUUUUACAUCAGGAGUGGACAAACAUGUUGUGGAGGAGGGCUUCACCAUUGGGUGAGAAAUCCUUCAGAGGUUCCAUGACAGAGCUAGGGCACUGGGGAGCGGGGAUAGGACAUGGAGGGCUACUUAUGCAUGCUUCACCACCUCCUUUACACACAGAGACCCUUCACAUGUGCACAUAGCUGUAUGCAUGCUGUACAAUGCUCAUGAGGACGAAUUUUGUAUCAGACUCAGCAGAUACAGAAGAGGGCUGUUCUCCUUCACCUUUAAAGGAUGUUUUAAGGAGUGAAUUUCAGCAGAUGCUACUACUAAUCGUGCCACAGCCUAUCCAACUGCUGAAAUUUUAUUUCAUACAUCAGGAUUAAAAGGGAAGGAGCCAUAUUUUCCUCUUGAUCCCUCCAUCCAGGCCUUAGAAUUGGGAGCCAAAAAUGGCCGUUGGCCGAUGCUAGUCAGAGGAUACAGAAGAGAAGUUCCCAGUCAUUUCAUAAGCACAAAAAGCAAGGAGACAUUCACAAAAGAAUUUAAAAUAUUUCACUUGUACUAGUCCAUUCCAUACUAUUUUCCAGUUCAAACUUGAAUAUUGAUGAAGUCAAAGGGGGGAAACAUCCAGCAUAUGAAUGAAGGCUAGAAUUUGUAAGAGAUUUGGGGAUGGGAAGCAAUUCAUUGGCAAUAAAUCUUUUCUAUUUCUUUUUCUGCA
rnacentral:lncRNA from 1 species